UGGGAAUUUUGGACAAUGGGGGCAACCCUGAUCCAGCAAUGCCGCGUGUGUGAAGAAGGCCUUCGGGUUGUAAAGCACUUUUGUCCGGAAAGAAAUCGCCCUGGCUAAUAUCCGGGGUGGAUGACGGUACUGGAAGAAUAAGCACCGGCUAACUACGUGCCAGCAGCCGCGGUAAUACGUAGGGUGCGAGCGUUAAUCGGAAUUACUGGGCGUAAAGCGUGCGCAGGCGGUUGUGCAAGACAGAUGUGAAAUCCCCCGGGGCUUAAACCUGGGAAUGGCAUUUGUGACUGCACGGCUAGAGUGUGUCAGAGGGGGGUAGAAUUCCACGUGUAGCAGUGAAAUGCGUAGAUAUGUGGAGGAACACCGAUGGCGAAGGCAGCCCCUGGGAUAACACUGACGCUCAUGCACGAAAGCGUGGGGAGCAAACAGGAUUAGAUACCCUGGUAGUCCACGCCCUAAAGCGAUGUCAACUAGUUGUCGGGUCUUAAUUGACUUGGUAACGCAGCUAAACGCGUGAAGUUGACCGCCU
rnacentral:rRNA from 1 species